UACGGGGGGGGCAAGCGUUGUUCGGAAUUACUGGGCGUAAAGGGCUCGUAGGCGGCCAACUAAGUCAGACGUGAAAUCCCUCGGCUUAACCGGGGAACUGCGUCUGAUACUGGUUGGCUUGAAUCCGGGAGAGGGAUGUGGAAUUCCAGGUGUAGCGGUGAAAUGCGCAGAUAUCAGGAGGAACACCGGUGGCAAAGGCGGAUCUCUGGGCCUGUCCUGACGCUGAGGCGCGAAAGCUAGGGGAGCGAACAGG
rnacentral:rRNA from 1 species